AUUGAACGCUGGCGGCAUGCUUUACACAUGCAAGUCGAACGGUAACAGCACUUCGGCGGCUGACGAGUGGCGAACGGGUGAGUAAUACAUCGGAACGUGCCUAGUAGUGGGGGAUAACUACUCGAAAGAGUAGCUAAUACCGCAUGAGAUCUAAGGAUGAAAGCAGGGGACCUUCGGGCCUUGCGCUACUAGAGCGGCUGAUGGCAGAUUAGGUAGUUGGUGGGAUAAAAGCUUACCAAGCCGACGAUCUGUAGCUGGUCUGAGAGGACGACCAGCCACACUGGGACUGAGACACGGCCCAGACUCCUACGGGAGGCAGCAGUGGGGAAUUUUGGACAAUGGGCGCAAGCCUGAUCCAGCAAUGCCGCGUGCAGGAUGAAGGCCUUCGGGUUGUAAACUGCUUUUGUACGGAACGAAAAGCCCUCUUCUAAUACAGGAGGGUCAUGACGGUACCGUAAGAAUAAGCACCGGCUAACUACGUG
rnacentral:rRNA from 1 species